rnacentral:rRNA from 1 species
CCUACGGGAGGCAGCAGUGGGGAAUAUUGCACAAUGGGCGCAAGCCUGAUGCAGCCAUGCCGCGUGUGUGAAGAAGGCCUUCGGGUUGUAAAGCACUUUCAGCGGGGAGGAAGGCGUUAAGGUUAAUAACCUUGUCGAUUGACGUUACCCGCAGAAGAAGCACCGGCUAACUCCGUGCCAGCAGCCGCGGUAAUACGGAGGGUGCAAGCGUUAAUCGGAAUUACUGGGCGUAAAGCGCACGCAGGCGGUCUGUCAAGUCGGAUGUGAAAUCCCCGGGCUCAACCUGGGAACUGCAUUCGAAACUGGCAGGCUAGAGUCUUGUAGAGGGGGGUAGAAUUCCAGGUGUAGCGGUGAAAUGCGUAGAGAUCUGGAGGAAUACCGGUGGCGAAGGCGGCCCCCUGGACAAAGACUGACGCUCAGGUGCGAAAGCGUGGGGAGCAAACAGGAUUAGAUACCCCAGUGGUC